rnacentral:lncRNA from 1 species
UUUUUUUUUUUUAACUUUACCUAUAGGUGAACACUACAGGGUUUGUUUAUCAAAAGGCUCUUCCUCUCCCAUUCAAAACUUUCUACCGAGCCAUGUUUCAUGGUACAAUAGGGAAACAUCAUGUUCAGAUUACAGUGGGGAAAGGCACAUCUGCCUGUCCUUCUGUGAUAAGCAGCCUGUGAACUUCUGUGUCCCCACCCACAGGCAGUUAUGGCAUGGCUAUACUGGGUUGGGAAGAGGGGUUCCGGCUCUUACAGUUCAGUGAGGAACCUCAGAGAACCACAGCUGCCUUGGAGAUACUACCUCUGGAAGUCAUUCUAGAGCCUUUGGAGGGCUCCAACCCACAUACUGAAUCUCCUCCCUUGUGGGAUCUCAAUUCCCCGACGCCCUGGUGACCUUCCAAUAACCUAGGUUGCCCUGGUUGUUCAAAACAUGAUCUGCCUCAAAACCUCCUCACCCAGUAUUCAGGAGCCACAGGUCAAGGUGAGGCUAUAGGUCUGCCAAUUGCAAGACACCUGACUCCUGAGAGGGUCACAGGGCAUGUCCAACUGACCCAGGUUUUGGUACAGGUUUCCAGGGUCCUAUGGCUUACCAGGGUGGCUACAGAAAAGGCUCAGUGGCCUGCAGUUCAAAGGUCAAGCCACCAACAGGAGUCAGCACAAAGGAAGGGAGGAAGAUUUGUCAGAUGAGAUGUCACUUUUAGAUAAUGUAGUUUGUGGUUCAGAAUUUAUAAAUAUCUCUUCAUAAUUUUGUU